rnacentral:lncRNA from 1 species
CCUAGGGACACAAAAUCCCAAAUUCCCAAAUCUUUUCGCAUCCUCUUUCUCCCGAAGCAACUGCUGCCGGCUGCACAGGCGAAGCCAUCACCGUCGAAGACUUGAUUGCCAUGCAAUGCACCAGAUUAUCGCCACUUAUGGAUUACUCCCUCCUUCCCAAUUUAAACGUCAUUUUAGACAUUUCUGAGAUAUAAGGAAGUUGCUGGGCAUCACUAGAUUAGCUGAACAAGGCAUUAGUGCAACUUCAAUGGAAGUCGAUACUAACUUUCAUCUCAUGGCUUCUCUUUCCUCUUACUUUUUUUUAUUUCCUUCUUUCUUCUAGUGGACUCACGUGUCAUCCUCUAUCCAUUCUUGGUACCUGUGCACAAGUUGUUAUUUCUGCAAGUAACUAGUAUUAUCUAUUUUGAGAUCUCUCUCCUCCACAUAGGACUAGUACCUGAUUAAUACCUCCAAUGGCAUCGAAAACCUCUACUAAUAAAGGAUCAGCAUGCAUGCGGGGAAGGGAUGGGCCUAGCACAAGCCCGACGGACUGCAUGCAGCGCCAUUUGAGUAGUAUUUAAAACGAUGAGGAGGAAUCAAAGCAUUUGCAUGCUGGCC